ACCUAAAAAAUGCAAAUAUUUUGUUAUAGUUAUUUUUACAGUACAAUUAGCUUGAAGCCAGCAGCUCAGUUACAAAACGAUUCCAUUUAUGUUGAUUUGGCACCGAUUAAGAAAGUCUUACUUAAACCAAAAUGUAUAUGCAAAAUAUACCUUAAAGUAAAUCAAUAAAUGAAGGAAUAAAAGUCGUUAGAGUAUUGAUUUCAGUCAGAAGCUUGCAACCUUGUGAAGAAGAUACAUAUAUUCUUCGUUGGAACAAAACGGAAAAAAACACUGAAACAAAUUGCCUUGCCUUGAUCGUUGGGCUUUUUUUUCGAUAAGAAAUCGUAGCCUGGUGGUUCUGUUUA
rnacentral:sRNA from 1 species